rnacentral:lncRNA from 1 species
CUUUUGUAACUUUGGCUUUGUCUUUGCUCUUCACAGAAAGGACUCCCUCUCAUCACUUGUAAGCUCCUGUCUCCUCCAUAGGAGCAAGAGGACUGCAGAGGUUCCAGAGCACAUCCUCUGGAGACACCACCCAGGGAGGAGAGGAAAGAAGUCUCUUUUUUCUCAGAAGCCCCCAGCGAACAGCUGUUCAUCCCUGCAUGCCAGUAGAUACAUGCUCCUCUCUGAAGCAAGGUCAGAAGAUGAGCAAAGUGAGGCUAGAAAAAUGUUGGAACUUCUACAGUCUUUGAGGACCAAUUGAUGAACCCUCCUGAAACAAAUAGAGAAUCAAGAGGCAGCUGGCAGAGACAUGGAAGGUCAGAUCACCAUGUGGGAAACUGGCGGCUG